GACCUCUAAUUAGGUUUUGAUUUAUAUAUUUCGUAUCAUCUUCUGUCGAUUUCCUCGUUAGGUUUUUAAUGUCUAGUUAGGGUUUUGAUUCCUAUAUUUUGUCUCAUUUUCUAUUUCCUCAUUUUGAUUUCGUAAGAAUCCGAUUAUUGUCUUGAAAUUCUAACGAACCAGAAAAACCUCAAAUUCAUAGUAAGGUAAGUGGCAAUCCAAUCACUGUUUGGGAAUUACAUAAUACUUUCUCAUCUAGGUCCCUGCAGCAUACCCGUUGCUGGAUUUCAAAAUCAAACCAAUCACAGUAAUGGUAUUUAAUUUUGUAUUUAGUUUUUGCAUUAGGAUGUUAUUGAUCGUCUCCUAUUUACUUGUGAUAGGAGUGUCCGGAUUACGUUAGGGAACUGAUAAGAAAGACAAGAACCUUAACUGACAAACCAUUUGGAAUUGAUGAAAAAGUUGCAUUACUUCAAGUUUAUUGGGUGAAUUCUCAAAGGGGAUUGUAGAUGAAGCUCACAAAGCAGGGGUCAAGGUGGUUCACCAAGUACUUGGAUAAACUCUUAGCAAUCGGUAUUUUUUCGUUUGGUGUCUCAUUACCGUGCACAUAUGCUUUUAAUAACAUAUUGGAAGUGUAAAAGAUGCCGAGAAAGCCAUUAGUUCUGGUGUAGAUGGAAUUAUUGUCCAAGGACACGAAGCAGGUGGACAUGUCAUUGGGAAGAUCAUAUAUGCAUUCUGGAGAAGCAUAUGAUGACUGAAGGGCACAAAAGCUACCUUUGACGGUUCCCCCUCUAGUAUUAUUUGUACUCAAGCUUGGUUCUGCUUUUAGAGUUAAUCUAACGUUCAACUGGUCGGGGGAAGUUGAGAUUCAAACGACAACCAUACAUAUAUCACUGACGGAAUAUGUGCAGUUGUUUUGAUUUCUGAUGAAGCUCGCAUUGGAUGGCACAAGAUUAACGAGCUAUUGCAGCAAGGCAAUAAAGACGGGAGCUAAACAACCCACUGAGUCAGAAGUAUAUGCUGAUGUUUGAAGAGAAAGCGAAGGCGACGAUGACGUGCUACAACCACUCCUGAAUCCUGAUUCUAAUAGUGAAGCACUUCAAGAAUGAUACAAGCUCGAGAUGACCAAAUAGGCGCACAAAAUGAGGCUAUCAAAAAAUUGAAAGAAGAUAAUGAAAAGUUCACACUAAACAUGAUCCGGGAACAACAAAAUCUGGUGUAGACUCGGGCUAUAGUCUUGGUAUUACAUUGUUAGUGGUGGCAGUGUUUAUUUAUUUAUUAGUAGAGUAUAUUUAUUCGGUGUUUUUCAGUUUGGAUAUUGUUUCAAUAAUUUAUUUUAAUGGUUAAUUAUUUUUUAUUUAAUUAAUAUUAUUAUUUAGGUAGAGUUGUAUCGGAGACGAUGUU